AUGGCUCUCUCUUCUUCUUAGGGGACCAUUCAUAAUGCCCUCUUUGAAAUUUUCUCAAUGACUUGUCACGGGUUCAAGCCGUGGAAUCAGUUGAUACUGAUGUUUGUGUCAAGGUAAGUUUCUUAUGCGGUCCUUCCCAGAACUUUGCUAAACACGGAAUGAUUCAUGCAUCAGACUAUCCCUUUUUAAGUUAUAUUCAUAAAAAGAUAAUUUACCUGCUAUAACAAGUUAAAAUUCAUUGAUAGUGUGCUAGAGGCUUAGUUAGCAUAUAAUGUUUAUAUCAUGUAAGACCUUGUUUAAGAGUCCUCAUGACUUUAGGUAAAGCUCGUUGCAUAUAUGACCAUGUUUUUGUCUUGGUUUCGCACCCGGUGUUUGGUGUCCGAUACCCACAUUGGAA